UCCCUGGAGGACUAGUGGUUAGGCUACAGAGCUCUCACCGCUGCAGCCUGGGUGCGAUUCCCAGCCAGGGAA